rnacentral:rRNA from 1 species
CAGCAUGCCGCGUGAGUGAUGAAGGCCUUCGGGUUGUAAAGCUCUUUUGGCAGAGACGAAAAAAGCCGGUGAAGAACCGGACUUGACGGACUCUCCCUAGCAAGCACCCGCUGACUAACUACCAGCAACCGCGGUAAUACAAGAUGGAGGGAGCGAUACUCGAACUCAUUGACCGUAAAGAACACGUGCGCAGGCAAUCAUGUCAGACGUGAAAGCCCUCCCCUGACUCCACGAGGUGAAUGCAAAAGACUUCGCUUGAAUCUCGUGACGGGGAAGGAGAAUUCCCUGCUGUGAGGAGAAAUUCAAUGAUUUCAUGAGGAAAACAACUCCCAUAGGGAACUGAAUCGCCUGAAGACUGACCCUGAGGUCCGAAAUAAAUGCGCAGCGAACACAACUAGAUACCCUAGGCAGGCCGCCCUGUCCACUAUAAAUGCUAACCGGUGGAUGGAUUGACCCCUUCUCUGCCGACCCUCACACGCUAAGCACUCCACCCUGGGGAGUACGGUCGCAAGACUAAAACUCAUCA